rnacentral:misc_RNA from 1 species
UCUCCGUUGGUGAACCAGCGGAGGGAUCAUUACAGAGUUGCAAAACUCCCAAACCAUUGUGAACGUUACCUAUCCCAUCGCUGCUGCGGCCGGCCCGGGCCCCCCGCACGGCGCCCCCCGACCCCCCGUGGGGGCCCGCCGGCGGUAAACCAAACCCUUGGAUUGCAUGGCCUCUCCGAGUCUUCUGUACUGAAUAAGUCAAAACUUUCAACAACGGAUCUCCUGGUUCUG